UACUAUGAUGAAUGACAUUACGUGAACAAUCUCUGAUACAAAAUCGAAAGAUUUUAGGAUUAGAAAAACCUAUGUUGCCUUCCUUCUGAAA
rnacentral:snoRNA from 1 species